rnacentral:lncRNA from 12 species
AUUUGCCCCAAAUUACAGCAGCUGAGUGCCAGGCUCUGCUGUGCUCCGAGACAUAAAUCACCCUGCACUGACCUCCUGGAUGCAGCCUCAAGGUGGGACCAUCUGUGCUCAUCCCUGGUGCCACAGUGUGUGUGGGGAGAUCUGCUGCUUGAGGUGAUGGGAGUCAGAACCAUCCAACACAAGCAGUCUACAAACUCCUAAUGAAGUGCAGAUGCACUGGGGAAGAUCCUCCCUCCACGGAUGAACCCUGAAUUGGGAUGUGCUGAGGAGCCGAGGUGAGCAAUUCGCUGAAGCCACUUGCAGGCAUUGUAGAGAGAGUAGUUUUAGUUUUGUUUACCUUCCUCUCACCUCCUUUUUUU